ensembl:snRNA U7 U7 small nuclear RNA
GAGUGUUACAGCUCUUUUAGAAUUUGUCUAGCUCUUUUAGAAUUUAAAUAAAAAA